UACGUAGGUGGCAAGCGUUGUCCGGAUUUAUUGGGUUUAAAGGGUGCGUAGGCGGUCUAUUAAGUCAGUUGUGAAAUACGGCAGCUCAACUGUCGAGGUGCAAUUGAUACUGGUGGACUUGAGUACUGAUGAGGUAAGCGGAAUGGACGGUGUAGCGGUGAAAUGCUUAGAUAUCGUCCAGAACACCGAUAGCGAAGGCAGCUUACUAAGGAGUAACUGACGCUGAGGCACGAAAGUGUGGGGAUCAAACAGG
rnacentral:rRNA from 1 species